AGUCUUUGCCCGAGCGCUUCCGAGAGCCAGUUCUGGACUGAUCGCCUUGGAUGGGAUACCGGGGGAGGGCAGAAGGACACUUGGCUUCCUCUCCAGGAAUCUGAGCGGCCCUGAGGUCCGGGGGCGCAGGGAAUCCCCUCUCCCGCCGCCGCCGCCGUGUCUGGUCUGUACGUCUUUAGAGGGUCGAGGAAGUCACGUCGGGACAGACUGGGGCGAGUAAGGUUAAGAAAGGCUGACAUGUUUUAUGUUUUAGUGACGACGCUUAAUAGGCUGUAUAUCUGCUCUAUAUGCAGCACAUACAUACAUAGCUUUUUAAAAAACUCUUAUUUUGUGGAAUGAAAUAGCUACCUUCAGUGUACAUAGCUGUAAUUUAUCUUUGUAGCUAAGUUGCUUUCAACAGAAGAAAUACUGUUCUCCGUACCUUCACCCCCUCCUUGUUUCUUGGAAAGAGAGGCGGGAAAGGUAAAUUCUCCUCAUAAUACUGGUCCUAAGCAGUUACCCUGUAAAUAGUUAAUGUGAGCUCCACGGGUCACCAAUAUAAAGUUUCCUGCCUUCUGAUGGACAAAGGAAGCGGCGAUGGCCAGAAUUUGCAGGGACGCUAAAUGUCCAAAACGUAUGCCUUAAGGCAUUUCUCUCCCUGAUGCGUGGAUUAUUUUGGUUACUAGCCCUUCAUAGGAGAUACUGGUAAAAUAAAUUCGAGUUUUAAAGUUCACUCUUUUGUCUUUUCUGUCCACUUUUCCAAGAUUAUGAGUUGUGACCAUGGAUCAAAGUACAACAUAGCAUUUACUUUUCAGUUGCCUGGGCUUAUUGGGGCUAAUUUUCUAUUCUCGUUUUGGAACAUAGUUGGAUGAGGAAUUAAUUAGAUGGAAGGGAGAUUUUGACAGUUGGAAUUUCAUCUUUGCUUUUGUUUAACAUCUAUCAUGGGUAGUGCUCAGGGAGGAGCAUGUGAGGGUGAGAUACUAAAAAAUAUAUAUAUGUAUAUGUGUGUGUGUAUAUAUACAUAUAUAUAUACACACACACCAGAAAAGAAGUGGAAAAUAGAAAAUUCAGUUAUGUCCUAAGUCCUUAGCAUUACAGGAAAAUGACAGCAUAAAACCUGAAAUAAAACUACACCAGGUACCUCAAUUUGUAGAAGUCUUAUAAGAAAAAAAUAAAUAAGAGACUCACUUGGAGGUUUUUUUUUUAACUGUUUUGCUUAGUGUACACAUCUGAUUCUUCAUGAGACACGGAUGACUAAAAUUCCAUCUCAUCUAGGAAGCCUUUCUCCUCCUCUAGUCAUAUUUCAUCAUUCCAUUUAUGGCACUCCUAUUUAUUGCAUGGAAUCUUACAUGAAAUUUCAACUAAGAGCGUGGAUCAUUUUCUUUUUGAUAAUUUAAUAAUUUCAAUCUUCUGUUUCAUUUUAAAGGAGUAGGUUGCAUCUACUGAAAUUUGAAGUUUAUAGUUAGAGCUACUAAUGUUAGUUUGGGUUAGAAGCCAUGUUAGAAUCCAUACUGUGAGAGAGUACUAAAAUUUUACAUUACAAUCCUGAAUUCAUUUUGAAGUGAUCAUCAUCAUUGUCUUCCUUAUCAGACAUUAAUUGUUCUGUUGUCUGAAAAGAGAUUUGGAUACAAAAGUGAGGGAAAAACAGGGCAUAAGGAAUAAUUAUAUUUAGAUUAUUUUAAACUCAAAGGAAUUGAACUCCAUCUAUCCCAUAGUGGAAAUUCUGUCACUUAUAUAGCAGGAUAGAGUGAAGAGUUCCAUGUACUUGGAAAGUCAAAAAAAAAAGUUCAAGGAGAAUCUGGGACUUUAAGGAUGGGCAGAGUUUUAGAAAGAAGUGCAAAUCUGAGCAUAAGGAAAAAAGUUACAUAAUUUAUUAAAUAACUGACAAUUCUGAGACAAUAAAAUAAAACGGAUAGGUACAUUUGGGAUGCUGGUCAUGGGAGUGUAUUAAAUGUGCCAAACUAAAUUAAGACCACUAAACCUGUUUUAUAUGGAAAAGUACUGUGACUAUUGUGUACCAUAAAAAAAAGGUUUGAUCAUGUAAAACUUAUAGCUCUCAUGUUUGCAUAUAUUCAAUGUUUCUGUGUCUAUUUUAGGCAAAUAUAUGGAUCUGUUGUACAAAAUUUCUAUUAGCGUCUGAAAUUUGUUGGGAAAUAAUCUACAUGAAAAGAAAAUAAGGAAGAAUCUUAAAAAUCUUCCAGAGCUUUCUGUUGAGUUUUACUGCCCCCUUCUGCUGCUUGAAAUUUUGUCAACUUUUUUCCUAAGAUGCUAGGAAGAUUGCCAGACAGAUUUUGUGUUUAAUUUUAUAAUGUUCUAAACAUUCACAUGUUGCACUGUUCAUUUCAGAUUUGUUUCAUGAAUAUGUUGAAAAGAAAUGAAAUAUUUAUUAAUUGAAGUGAUAAGCCAUUCAUGUGAGUUAAAAGAAAAUGAACAAUAAAGACUCUUAAUGUCCAAAAUUCCAAAUAAACUAACUUUUUUUUCCCUUCCUUGUACUUUGAGCAGGGUUCUACUACUCAUACAUACAGAUCCAUUAUCUCAGGCAAGGGUCCUCUUUCUAUUUCCCUCGUUUCUUCUUUGGUGGGUUUAGUGGUUCACUUAGAGAGUGGAGAUCACCCCUUGUCUUCUUUCUUUCAUGGCAUGUUGGCUGAAAAAAGAGCUUUGUGUCAGGGUUAUUCUUAGUAUACUUUGGCAAGGUUAUGCCAUGAAGUUUAUCUCUUCCUUGAGUAGCAGAAAUGUUACUUACAGAAGAUCUUUACGUUAGUCCUUUAGUAAAGCCUGAUUAUUUACCCAUUCUUAGCUACACAAGAAGUUUUGAGGCUAUAAACGAAAGCACAUAAUUUGUUAAAUUAAGAAAAGUCCUUUCACAUAAGUCAAUGAAGAAACACUUAAAAAAUCUAUUUCUAAGUUUUAUAAAACACUGAUCUCCUUUCUUUUUCUCAAAUAUCUCAAUUCUUUGAUGGAUUUUUCUUUUACUUCAUUUUUUUUUGUGAUUGUUCAUUAUAAUACUCAGAUGAGCCAAAGUAGUUGAAUGAGUUGAACACAGUCUUUGUAUUGGACCUAGAAAUCUCACAAGGGGACAAGGAAGGGAAAGAGAGUGUGAGGUGGGGGCACUGGAGCAGGCAGGAUGUGAACAUACCCACGCACAGAAUAUGAGGCUUAGGACUUUCAGUUUCUGAUCUGGCAUGUCAGGGAGGAGCUUGGAAAUUGUCACUUCAUCCUAAAAACAAGUAAAAAUCUAAGCAAACUGAAAAAUCAACACUCUCAGAACUGUCAGAGAAGUGAGGCGACAGGUCAUAACCCUACUUAAAAAAUUUGAAAGACAGACCAUACAAGAAGAACAACUUACUGGAGCAGAAAUGCACAGGCAGAAACCUCCAUGAAAACCAGUACCUGGGUAGGAAAACCUGAACUGUAAUUGAUGAAUUUCUGGAGGUUCAGUGCAGAUAAGUCUGCAAAGGAAAAAUUCUGGAAGACUCCCACACUUUUGUGAGUUUUGCUUCCUGGAGCUCUACGAGGUUCUCGCAGUGAAUAUCAGAGAAAACUCCCCCUCAGCUCCAUCAGAGUAUAGUGUUCUUAAUAAGGCCUAUACUCAAGAGAAAUUAUUUUAUAAUAUUAGAGCCUAAACUGUCGGGAUUUUUGUCGCAGCCUAACUGAAUUAGAAGAAGGAAAAUAUCCAAAUUUAACUGCCUCUAGCUUUCCAUACAGGGGAAGAAAAAUACCCAACUCCAGCCCUCUCUUUAGCUUCUACAUUGGAGAAGGGAAAUACCCAAUUCUAGCCCCCCCCCAGUGAUCUUGUCCCACUUAAGGACAGGAAAAGAGUGGAAUGAAAAGCACUUGUUGAAAGUCACCGUUCAUAGGCACAGGCUCACUAAAAGGCCGAGACCUGCUAUAGGACUAUAGAAUGCUUCACUUCCCCUGAACUCUUAUCGUCACAUUACAAUGUAUUGAGUUUCUUUCACUCAGUACAUCAUGCCUGGCUUUCAACAAAAAAUUAGAAGUCACACUAAAAGACAAAAACAUAGCUUGAUAAGACAGAGCAAGCAUCAGAAUCAAUGUCAAAUAUGGUAGAGAUGUUGAAAUUACAAUACCUAUGAAAUUAAAACAACUGCAAUUACUAUGAUAAGACAACACACAAGAAUAGGUUGGUAAUGUAAGUAGACAGAUGGCAAUUCCAAGAAAUAAUCAGAGAAAUGCUAGAGA
rnacentral:lncRNA from 1 species